rnacentral:rRNA from 2 species
GCGGAGGAAAAGAAACUAACAAGGAUUCCCCUAGUAACGGCGAGUGAAGAGGGAAGAGCUCAAAUUUUGAAUCUGGCGUCUUUGGCGUCCGAGUUGUAAUCUAGAGAAGUGUUUUCCGUGACGGACCGUGCAUAAGUCUCCUGGAAUGGAGUGUCAUAGAGGGUGAGAAUCCCGUACAUGGCAUGGACUCCCGUUACUCUGCGAUACACUCUCGACGAGUCGAGUUGUUUGGGAAUGCAGCUCUAAAUGGGUGGUAAAUGCCAUCUAAAGCUAAAUAUGGGCGAGAGACCGAUAGCGAACAAGUACCGUGAGGGAAAGAUGAAAAGCACUUUGGAAAGAGAGUGAAACAGUACGUGAAAUUGUUGAAAGGGAAACGCUUGAAGUCAGUCACACUCUUUGGGAUUCAGCCUUGCUUGCUUCUGCUGCUCGGUUUACUUCCCAUCGGGUGGGUCAACAUCAGUUUUAGUCGGAGGAGAAAGACUUGGGGAAGGUAGCAGCAUUCGUGCUGUGUUAUAGACCCUUGUUGUAUACUUCGAUUGGGACUGAGGCCCGCAGCACGCCUUUGGCCGGGGUUUACCCACGUACGUGCUUAGGAUGUUGGCAUAAUGGC